GUGGAUGUAGCUCAGGGGUAGAGCACCUGACUGUGGAUCAGGUGGUCGUGGGUUCAAAUCCCAUCAUCCACC
rnacentral:tRNA from 1 species